CGCCCCAAGAGUUGUUUUUAACCAGUCACGAUCGUUUCCCCACUAUGUGGUAUGGUUUAUACGCAUUGAUUGGAGACGUUAGGAUUUUAAUGAUGUUAGUUUUUUCGGUAUCUUGGUACGGGUUGGUACGGUGGAGUUUAUUUCUAUACAUAUAUUGUUAUAUAUUUAUUUCAAUUUAUUUGUUGUCAAACGUGGACGUGGUGUUGGUUUGCGUAAUACGUGGAUUUAUUAUUAGUGUUAAUUUAAGAAAAAAUUGACAAAAGACAUGAAAAUAUAGUGUACAUUAGUUUGUAUUUUUGUUGUAGGAUGUUCAGUGAAUCGCGAUUAGACGGGGCGUCGUUGUUAUCACAAGUUUGUAGAUGGAAGUCCAGAUGAGAGUGCGAGAUAAGCGAAUAUAAAAAUACAAUGAUGCCUCGUGGUUUUUUAUUUCCUAUACAUGUUAAGAACGAAACUUCAGGCUGCGAUAGCAAUUAUGGAGGUUGUAGAAAAAUUGGAGGAAUUCCGCGUCUGCAUAGGGAUCUGCUAGUAGACGAUGAUUACGACCAGGCUCAACAAUCGUAUAUUUUAUCAAUUUUGACAGUCGUAUAGAUAGAUUCGUUUUGUUCGAAAUUCUAUCUAUAGGGCGGUGUUUCCAGUAUUAUUGACUUUUAUUUUUGUUGACUGUAUAUGAAAUUUGGAAAUGUCAUUUUAUUUAGAAUUGUAUUUUGUAGGUUUCAUUAUUUUCAAUAAAGAAUACAACUGGAACGAGUCACUAUACACUAUUUUACUAGAACAAAAGUUCAUAAGAAUAGCGUGUGGUGGCUAGUUUCCGUGUCGUAAACAGAA